UUUUUUGGUGACCGAUCAUCAAGGUGAUAAACUUUUAAUUUAUUUAUGAGUAUUUAGCUCCC
rnacentral:tRNA from 1 species